AUUGAACGCUGGCGGUAUGCUUAACACAUGCAAGUCGAACGGCAGCAUGGUCUAGCUUGCUAGACUGAUGGCGAGUGGCGGACGGGUGAGUAACGCGUAGGAAUAUGCCUUGAAGAGUGGGACAACUUGGGGAAACUCAAGCUAAUACCGCAUGUACUCGAGAGAGUAAAGCUGGGGACCUUUAGGCCUGGCGCUUUAAGAUUAGCCUGCGUCCGGUUAGCUAGUUGGUAGGGUAAAGGCCUACCAAGGCGACGAUAGGUAGCUGGUCUGAGAGGAAGAUCAGCCACACUGGAACGGAGAGACGGUCGAGACUCCGACGAGAGGCAGCAGGGGGGAAUAUUGGACAAUGGGGGGAACCCGGAUCCAGCAAUGCCGCGUGUGUGAAGAAGGCCUGAGGGUUGUAAAGCACUUUCAGUGGGGAGGAGGUUUGGAAGGUUAAGAGCUAUUCAAAUGGACGUUACCCACAGAAGAAGCACCGGCUAACUCCGUGCCAGCCGCCGCCGUAACAC
rnacentral:rRNA from 1 species